UUACCGUUGCCUAGAGAUGAAGUCCUCUAUUUAAACACAGAACAGGUACAGCUUCAGCAGUAGCAGUGCAAACUUCCUCAGCCUUGCUUCAACCUUGAUCUUGAAGGACUUCUUCUAAAUGACAGUGUGAAAUCCUGGCUCUGUUAAAGUGAAAGGCAAAACUCCC
rnacentral:sRNA from 1 species